rnacentral:misc_RNA from 1 species
CACGUCAUCCCCACCUUCCUCCGGUUUGUCACCGGCAGUCUCCUUAGAGUUCCCGCCAUUACGCGCUGGCAACUAAUGGCAAGGGUUGCGCUCGUUGCGGGACUUAACCCAACAUCUCACGACACGAGCUGACGACAGCCAUGCAGCACCUGUGUUACGGUUCUCUUUCGAGCACUCUCACAUCUCUGCGAGAUUCCGUACAUGUCAAGGGUAGGUAAGGUUUUUCGCGUUGCAUCGAAUUAAUCCACAUAAUCCACCGCUUGUGCGGGUCCCCGUCAAUUCCUUUGAGUUUUAACCUUGCGGCCGUACUCCCCAGGCGGUCAACUUCACGCGUUAGCUUCGUUACCAAGGAAUUGCUUCCCCGACAACCAGUUGACAUAGUUUAGGGCGUGGACUACCC